UACGUAGGGGGCAAGCGUUGUCCGGAAUCAUUGGGCGUAAAGAGCGUGUAGGCGGCCCGAUAAGUCCGCCGUGAAAGUCCAGGGCUCAACCCUGGAAUGCCGGUGGAUACUGUCGGGCUAGAGUCCGGAAGAGGCGAGUGGAAUUCCUGGUGUAGCGGUGGAAUGACGCAGAUAUCAGGAGGAACACCGAGUGGCGAAGGCAGCUCGCUGGGACGGUACUGACGCUGGAGGCGACGAAAGCGUGGGGAGCGAACAGG
rnacentral:rRNA from 1 species